AAUAGAUACCCGGGUAGUCCACGCCGUAAACGAUGAGUGCUAAGUGUUAGAGGGUUUCCGCCCUUUAGUGCUGCAGCUAACGCAUUAAGCACUCCGCCUGGGGAGUACGGCCGCAAGGCUGAAACUCAAAGGAAUUGACGGGGGCCCGCACAAGCGGUGGAGCAUGUGGUUUAAUUCGAAGCAACGCGAAGAACCUUACCAGGUCUUGACAUCCUCUGCCAACCCUAGAGAUAGGGCGUUCCCCUUCGGGGGACAGAGUGACAGGUGGUGCAUGGUUGUCGUCAGCUCGUGUCGUGAGAUGUUGGGUUAAGUCCCGCAACGAGCGCAACCCUUCGAUCUUAGUUGCCAGCAUUCAGUUGGGUCGACUCUAAGGUGACUGCCGGUGACAAACCGGAGGAAGGUGGGGAGUGACGUCAAAUCAUCAUGCCCUUACUGACCUGGGCUACACACGUGCUACAAUGGAUGGUACAAAGAGCUGCGAACCCGCGAGGUAAGCGAAUCUCAUAAAGCCAUUCUCAGUUCGGAUUGUAG
rnacentral:rRNA from 1 species